AGUCUGCAACUCGACUACAUGAAGCUGGAAUCGCUAGUAAUCGCGGAUCAGAAUGCCGCGGUGAAUACGUUCCCGGGUCUUGUACACACCGCCCGUCACACCAUGGGAGUCGGAAAUGCCCGAAGUCUGUGACCUAACCGAAAGGGAGGAGCAGCCGAAGGCAGGUCUGAUGACUGGGGUGAAGUCGUAACAAGGUACC
rnacentral:rRNA from 1 species